rnacentral:rRNA from 1 species
UACAGAGGUCUCAAGCGUUGUUCGGAUUCAUUGGGCGUAAAGGGUGCGUAGGCGGCGCGGUAAGUCGGGUGUGAAAUCUCGGAGCUUAACUCCGAAACUGCAUUCGAUACUGCCGUGCUUUGAGGACUGGAGAGGAGACUGGAAUUUACGGUGUAGCAGUGAAAUGCGUAGAGAUCAUGAGGAAGACCAGUGGCGAAGGCGGGUCUCUGGACAGUUCCUGACGCUGAGGCACGAAGGUCAGGGGGAGCAAACGGGG